UACGUAGGUCACGAGCGUUAUCCGGAAUUAUUGGGCGUAAAGAGUGAGCAGGCGGCAUGGUAAGUCUGGAGUGAAAGCGUGGGGCUUAACCCCAUAAAGCUCUGGAAACUGCCAAGCUAGAGUACAGCAGAGGUGAACAGAACUCCUUGUGUAGCGGUGAAAUGCGUAGAUAUAAGGAAGAAUACCAGUGGCGAAGGCGGUUCACCAGGCUGAUACUGACGCUCAGUCACGAAAGCGUGGGGAGCAAAUA
rnacentral:rRNA from 1 species